UUAACAAUAAAUGCAUUCCUCAAAUUAUUUGUUUUUCAUCUGUUGAAAACACGAAAUGUGCAACUCCAUUUUGCUAUAAAAAGAUGAAAUAAUUUUCAAAAGUCAUCAAUUCAUCCAACGCCUUCUAUCACAAUGAAAUUUAACAAAGUUUUCAUUAUUGCCGCUUCAAUGCUGUUGGCCAUUGUUUCGGUUGAAGCAAAACCGGAGCCAAAACCAGAACCAUUACCCGAGCCUAUAUUAACCAUCGUUACUGAUCUGCUUGGAGGACUUCUAGGCGGCAGAUGAAGACAUUAAAUCCACAAAAAAAUGAAUAAAUAAAAAUUAUGUGUCUUAAAUGAUUGAAAGGAUGAUAUUGAAUAAAAAUAAUAAAAAAAUGA